GACGAACGCUGGCGGAGUGCUUAACACAUGCAAGUCGAACGGAAAGGCCUGCUUUCCCUUGUGGAUUGCGGGUACUCGAGUGGCGAACGGGUGAGUAACACGUGAGUGAUCUGCCCCCAACUUGGGUAUAAGCCUGGGAAACUGGGUCUAAUUCCCGAUAGGACUGCAGGGUGGUGCCUGUGGUGGAAAACGAUUUUCUAGUGGUUGGGGAUGAGCUCGCGGCCUAUCAGCUUGUUGGUGGGGUAAUGGCCUACCAAGGCGGCGACGGGUAGCCGGCCUGAGAGGGUGGACGGCCACAUUGGGACUGAGAUACGGCCCAGACUCCUACGGGAGGCAGCAGUGGGGAAUAUUGCACAAUGGGCGGAAGCCUGAUGCAGCGACGCCGCGUGGGGGAUGACGGCCUUCGGGUUGUAAACUCCUUUCGACCGCGAGGAAGCCACCUGGUUGGAAGGGUGGUGACGGUAGUGGUAGAAGAAGCACCGGCUAACUACGUG
rnacentral:rRNA from 1 species